CUGGGCUGUCCGGUCGAACCAGGGGUGUAUUCAUUACGCCAAUUCUUUUGCAAAACGUUCGUCUGUUGCGAAACUGUUUAAGGCCUACUCCAAACGGAAAACAUUUUGCAACGAAAACGAGUUUCUAUUGGACAAAUUUAGACGAGACUUGCUCCUCCAGCUGGCUAUUUCAGUGAGAUGCAGCACAUCAAGAGAAAUAAAAGCCCAGUUUAGUUUAUAGCCUGUAGCAGGGGUGUGAAACAUGUGUCAGGGGAUCCUGGUUUAUGAGCCAAUGGAUUAUGAGGAGUCGAGAAGAGGUGGUGAGGAGUGUGCAAUUGAGAUUAUCCCUGGGUAGAAAUUAUAAAUGGACCAACAUUCAUCAGCUCGCUAAUAAAUCACAGAAAUGAAAGCUCAACAGUCAGGGAACCAAAACGUUUUGAUGGGGAGGAAAUAUAACCAAGCCAGACCUCGUCCGAGACCGAUUGCAGCUUCCAGGGCAAAACGAGUUAGACACCCCUGGCCCUUUAGACACCCCUGGCCUUUAGCUACAGAUCCAAUAAAAUCACCAGUUCAUUGUAAAUGCAUUUGUAUUCUUUAUUAUGCUGUUCCACCAUCAUUCCUUCCUUGUACAGUAUAAAGCUUUAGCCAUACAAAAACGACCACUGCCUACUGAUAAAACCUGUGAGUAUUUCAUGGAAAUACUAGCGGUAUGAGGACAAAAUGAAAUGCAUCUUUUCUUAAAUAAAAUGGAAAUAUGAAACCUAAAAUUAAAAAAUAAAAUAAAAAUAAACUUCUGGCAAAAACACAAUUCCUGCAUUAUGGCCUGUGUUGUUGAAAUCUGAAUGACAUGACUAGGUUUAUGGCUACCAAUGUCCACAAAAAAUUAUGAAUUUAAAAGAUAAUACAAU